AUGGCGGCGUCAGGGAGCGCUCAGAGCCGACGCUUCGCUGUAGCGUGCGGCGUCCUCAGCCGCUGCAUCAAGGCGGCCGAGGCGCGGCCGGUGGUCCUCCCCCUCAUGCCCGGAGCCGAAGUGCCCGCUGAAGACGAGCGCGCGGCGGGUCCUGCGCCGGCGAGCGCGCACAUGACCAUCUUCUACGGCGGCCAGGUGCUGUUGCUCGACGAGGUCCCGGACGACAGGGCGGCCGAGCUGCUCCGUGUCGCUGCCGCAGCAGGCAGCGCGCGAGGGGACGGCGACCUGCCCAUGGCGAGGAAGGCGUCACUGCAGCGGUCCAUGGAGAAGCGCAAGGGGAGGCUCGCCGCGCGCGCCGUCCCCUACAGCCGGCCCGACGGCGACACGGCCUCCUGUAAUCGUCUCACGCUUACCCUCUGA
rnacentral:rRNA from 1 species